rnacentral:rRNA from 1 species
UGGUGGAAAGCUUUUGUGGUUUUGGAUGGACUCGCGGCCUAUCAGCUUGUUGGUGGGGUAAUGGCCUACCAAGGCGACGACGGGUAGCCGGCCUGAGAGGGUGACCGGCCACACUGGGACUGAGACACGGCCCAGACUCCUACGGGAGGCAGCAGUGGGGAAUAUUGCACAAUGGGCGGAAGCCUGAUGCAGCGACGCCGCGUGAGGGAUGACGGCCUUCGGGUUGUAAACCUCUUUCAGUAGGGAAGAAGCGAAAGUGACGGUACCUGCAGAAGAAGCGCCGGCUAACUACGUGCCAGCAGCCGCGGUAAUACGUAGGGCGCAAGCGUUAUCCGGAAUUAUUGGGCGUAAAGAGCUCGUAGGCGGUUUGUCGCGUCUGCUGUGAAAGACCGGGGCUCAACUCCGGUUCUGCAGUGGGUACGGGCAGACUAGAGUGCAGUAGGGGAGACUGGAAUUCCUGGUGUAGCGGUGAAAUGCGCAGAUAUCAGGAGGAACACCGAUGGCGAAGGCAGGUCUCUGGGCUGUAACUGACGCUGAGGAGCGAAAGCAUGGGGAGCGAACAGGAUUAGAUACCCUGGUAGUCCAUGCCGUAAACGUUGGGCACUAGGUGUGGGGGACAUUCCACGUUUUCCGCGCCGUAGCUAACGCAUUAAGUGCCCCGCCUGGGGAGUACGGCCGCAAGGCUAAAACUCAAAAGGAAUUGACGGGGGGCCCGCACAAGCGGGCGGAGCAUGCGGGAUUAAUUUCGAUGCAACGCGGAAGAACCUUACCAAGGCUUGACAUGAACCGGGAAAGACCUG